rfam:Desulfobacterales bacterium S7086C20 S7086CLC20_contig000144, whole genome shotgun sequence.
GAGGGUAGGGCCCCUCGGGGUCGGCUUGCAGGAGCAGGCUCCAAAGCACCUCAAGCUGCAUUGGUAAAGAGCCAUUGUGGUGAGCGUUGAGGAAAAGGUCCCGGCAGACGGGAUCAGC